rnacentral:rRNA from 1 species
GGCCUACCAUGGUGGUAACGGGUAACGGGGUGUUAGGGCACGACACCGGAGAGGGAGCCUGAGAAACGGCUACCACAUCCCAGGAUGGCAGCAGGGGCGCAAAUUACCCAAUCCCGACACGGGGAGGUAGUGACAAUAAAUAACAAUACGGGGUUCUUUCGGAUCUCGUAAUUGGAAUGAGUACAAUUUAAAUCUCUUAACGAGGAACAAUUGGAGGGCAAGUCUGGUGCCAGCAGCCGCGGUAAUUCCAGCUCCAAUAGCGUAUAUUAAAGUUGUUGCAGUUAAAAAGCUCGUAGUUGAAUUUCGGGGUUAGUAGGUUGGUCAUGCCUCUGGUAUGUACUGGUCUCACUGAUUCCUCCUUCCUGAUGAACCGUAAUGCCAUUAAUUUGGGUGUUGGCGGGGAAUUUGGACUGUUACUUUGAAAAAAUUAGAGUGUUUAAAGCAAGCUAACGCUUGAAUACAUUAGCAUGGAAUAAUGAAAUAGGACGUUCGAUCCUAUUUUGUUGGUUUCUAGGAUUGACGUAAUGAUUAAUAGGGAUAGUUGGGGGCAUUAGUAUUCAAUUGUCAGAGGUGAAAUUCUUGGAUUUAUUGAAGACUAACUACUGGCGAAAGCAUUUGCCAAGGAUGUUUUCAUUAAUCAAGAACGAAAGUUAGGGGAUCGAAGACGAUCAGAUACCGUCGUAGUCUUAACCAUAAACUAUGCCGACUAGGGAUCGGAUGAUGUUAAUUUUUAAUGACUCAUUCGGCGCUUACG